rnacentral:lncRNA from 1 species
UCAUAAUGAUUAAAGAAAAAAGAAGAAUAAAGUAAUUCUCCUUAUUUCACUUGCCGUCCCGUACCCCCACUUAGUUUCAUGUUAUGUUUCUCGAUACAUUGUGCUAGAAAGAGAUACCGCAAACCAGUCGAAGAGAUCUUGUCGUCAGUGGUGGCGGAGUGAGGGCUCACUCUAUGUUAAUAUAUACCUCUAUGCAUUUAAAGAACAACAUAACCCAUAAUACUUAACAUAAACCAUAGUACAACAUGAAAGUGAAAUUAGAAAUACUAUGUUAUAAGGGAGUUAAGGAGUUGUUAAAUACUUUUGCAUAUUAUGGGUAUACGAAAUGGAGAAUUUAUGGACAAUGUAUCUGUUAGGGAGCAGUUGAAGUGCUGUGUAAUUAAUCACAAAUUGCUUCAAGAGCUGUUAUUGAAAGAACAUUUUGUAUUUUGAAGAGAAGAUUUCCAAUAUUAAUAUGUGAAAUAAGAUGCAAGUUAUAUUUAAAGAAUAAUAUGAGCUUGUUCAGUUUUACUAGUUUUACAGUUUCAUUGAAAUUUGCACUAACAAAUAUGAAGGUGGUGCGAUUUAAUCGAACAAGCUUUGUUGUUUAUUUGGGUUUAUAUUUAUGACUGCCGACACUAAAUCCAUUCGCCAAAUCGAACAUGCUGUGGCAGUACAUUUUCAAACAGGAGCAAAUCUAGUGCAACUACAUUUUGUGUGUGUUUGUUUGUGGUAAAAUUAUUCGCAAUUUAAGGCAAGUUUAAAUGGUUAAUGUUGAUAAUUUUAUUUGGUUCUAGUUUACUGAAUGGGUAGACGGAUUACGGAUAUGAAAUUUAUACCAAUGAAUUCUGUUUCACUUACUGAUAAUUGUACAAUAAUUUUUUAUUGGGGGCGGGCGUUACUUUUCAUGUAAUUGCAAUUUAAAAUAUGUCUUAUUUUUAAAAAUCGCCGCCAUUUUCCGCCAUUAUAUACCAUGAAACAACAAGAAACGACAGGAAUGACAACCGUUUUAUAAACGCAAGAAGGAGAAUCCUAACAGUGUUGCCAUAGUUAUAUAAAAUAUGUUUUCUUAUGAAAAUUACAAUUUUUCAAUUCUUAAAUAUGUCAUUUUACUUAUUCUGACGCAUUUUUAACACAAAAUGACUGCUUUAUUACAAGGGUCAGGUUAGUUCUGGUUAGGUUUCGUUACGUUAGGUUAGAUUACAUCAAGUUUAUUAAUAUUAUAGUGAUUUAUGAUUAUAUUUUAAUAAAUAAAUUCUGUGGGAUUCCCAGAAUACACUUUCAAGGUUGGAAUGAAAUUUUGUGUAUUUCAUGGUUAUGUACUGUCACUGAUUUCGGGAAACCAUGUUGCCAUGUGAAUGACAAAAGAUAAUUUCACAUGAAAACAUCGAUUUUUGUCCAUUUAAGCGUACCAUUGAUUUGGAAUAUUUAUGCAAACCUCUAAAUUUGGCAACUGUUUUUGAAAAAUUGGUAGAUGCAUGCAUUGACGCAUUUUUUAAACAGUUUAUUGUUAGUUUUUAGUUUGUUAGGUCGGUUGUUUGUGCUGCGCCCUGGAUUUGGGCGUUGUCUGUUGCAUCAUAUACAAAUUUGUGAAAGUGAAGUUAGUUUAUCGGGUUUGGACCGAAGGGUUAGGCCUUCCUCCUUUCAGACCGCCUGCGCCCAAUUGCAAUCUGCCCAGUUUAUCAUUAAAUAAAGGUGAAGUGAGACUAAAUGGUGUGUAGGUGUUACGAAAGUAAAUUUAAGUACAAUUAAGGUGUGGCUUUAAUACCUAUAUUCACAAAGAAAAGGCCUCUUUCGAAGCUAGUAAACUGCAGGCAGAGGAAAUAAAUAUGUUGGUGGCAACUUUUAUUACAUUUAAAGCCACGAAUUUGGCUUUGGACUCUCAAAUUGCAUCGAUCUAUAGCUGUUUUG